rnacentral:lncRNA from 1 species
AUACUGUGGUAUAACUCUGUCUUUCAUUUUAGGAAUCUGUUUGAUCAACCAGAUUGUGUAGUGUUUUAAAACUUGGAAUUUUCUCUUGCUUUUCUUUGUUAUCCACAUUUAGAACACAACCUGCCAUUCAGUAAAUGGUUUCAAAUGAAUUGAAUGAGUGGUUGUUGAUUUUACUCCUGUGAAGCUUAUCUCGUCAAAGUAACUGACCUCUUAACAACAUUAAUUAUUCCAUAAUAGUUCUCAUUUGGGGGGCAUUAAGGAGUGUAAAGCAUGGAGUUCUGAUUUUGAAAUUAAGCUUGUGAAAAAGUACCAUUCCAAAUGACAGUAAAGGCAAGAACUCAAGAAAGUAUUUUCACCUAUAUUUUUCCAUGAACUUUAUUUAGCAGCCUGGUUAAAUAACUGAUACCGUUCCAUUGGUAAUAGCCCCAUUCUAAAGCAUAGGAAAUGCUCUAUACAAAUCAGCAUUUAUUGAGUGCAUCAUCUAGGAACUGAGAAUACAAAGAUAAGAUUAAUUCUCAAGGGAGCUCACACUUUCCUGGGAACUAAAGAGAAAUGUGCAAAUAAUUGGGAAGAGUAACUUAUUUUGGCAAUGGGGCAGGGAGGCAGAGUUGAUGGAUUUUUGCCUUCUGUAUGUCUGUUUAACAUCAAUGUGUUUCUAGUUGCAGACUCACCAUAACAAAUCAAUGCAUUGGUCAGGAGGAAAACAGCUAGGGAUUGUGCAUGGGUAAGAAAAAACUUUAAAUCGCUACUGGGAAAAUCAAAGCAAAAUACAAAAUAAAAAUACAACACAAAAAUAAAAACCAAUAACCAAAACCCUGAACAAUCUUAGAGCUCAUGUCUUAGAAAUAAGAUAGUGAGUCAGUAACAUUAUCUUUCUAGAUGAAGGACAGUUCCUGAUUCAUCAGUGAUUGUAGUUGUGAAGAAGUGCUUGUUUUACUAAUGAAGGCCCUACUAAUAUUAGAGUCUCUGGUUUGGACUUUUUUUGUGGCAUAAAUUAUUUCCCAGGGUUGAAAUAGUUAUCAUAAACUCUCUGUGAAAGAAAUACAGAAGAUGGAUAAUUAUUCCACUCCCUUUUUCUAAAAGACAAUUAUUCAGUUCUGUCACCUGCAUCACAUUUCUCUUUCAAUUAGGUCAAGUUGUCUCUGCAGACCAACAAAAACACACAUUCAUUCAUUUUGCCAAUAAACUUGCAGAAUGGUUGUAUAACUUUUUAUUUUCUAUUCCUCUUUUAAUUUGAAGAAAACAAAAUUAUUAUAUGCCAGACAAUUGUUUUCCAUUAAAAAGAUUUUCUUUAACAAUAUCAUUUUUGCAAAGUCAAGCCAUCUGCCUUCAUCAAACAGGCAAUUUGAUUUGCUAUAUGAUUUUUUUUAUUAGGUCAAGCAGCCAACUUGACUUUUUCAUUAGUUAGUCCAAAAUUACCAGGAUUCUUUUAGAACCUACCUCUUUUCUAUAUAUAUUGCACAUAAUAAAUUUUUUAUGAAAUCUCUUUUUAAAAGAGCAUUUUUAGAAAAAGGAAGAAAGUUUAGUUCUGGUAACCACCAGAUCCUCUACCUCCUAUGUGUAAAGGUAAGCAUUUUAAAUCCCUGAUUGAUAUUCAAGUCCAAAUACCAAUGCCAGUAUAUCAGAGUGUGACGUAUUUCCCCCUUACCUAACUUCCAAAUCAGUUGUGUCUUCUCACCAUUCAUCUACCGCCUCUCUACCCUUAUCCACAAUUCUUGAAGGAUUUGGUUCUUGGCAUCACCAUCACCACAUGAAAGUCAGCAUACAAUAUGUAUAGUGAAUUUUUUUUUAUUACAGAAAUUAACAGAAUUGAUUUCAUAGCUUGGAAAGAGGAGAAAGUAUAAUGAAAUCUAUAGUCAGAACAACUGAGGCCUGAGAAAGAUAGGAGAGAAUGAUGUUAGUCAGGGUCCAGUGAGGAAAACAGAAACCAUGCUAGGUAUUCAAACAAGGGCUUUCAUACAGAAAAAUAGUAACCUAGAUGUUGGAAGGCUGAAAGAGUACAAGGGGAAGCUGAAAUAACCAUUCAGAUAAUAGUAACUCUUUUUAGUUAAAAUAAUAGAGGAAAAAAGAACAAAAGAUAAAAUAGUUAAUGUAACAGCCAAGGUAGUAAUAUGCAUAGCACAUACAUUCUUAUUUCUGUAACUAGUCAUAAGGGUAUAGUUGGCAUUUCUUCUUUCUUCUACUACUCUUUCCAUGUUUGCUUUACUGUCAGAAUGUCAGAGAGAAAAUCAGUUGACCGUGUCUUUUCAUGGUAAGGUAAUCCCAAACUUCAUUCCUAAAGGGUCUGAGUACUUAAUAGUUCUUUCUUAAUUGGGUUGCUCUAGUUUUCCAUUAACUUUUACCAUUGGAUGUGGAAAUAUGAAGUGGUAUCCCAGAGAAUCCCUUGAAUUAUAGACAUUGUCCCCUGUUUUGUGGACAUGUCCUUUGAUAAUACAGAUUGAUCAUCCUAUCCUUAUUUGCCUUUUGGGUCAGUGGUAUGAGAAGCUCCAAAUGACUAGGUGAUGGUCUCAGCUUAUAAUUAAAUGGAAACAUUGUCCUCUGAGGUAGACAGCCGCACCCCAAGUUGUGUUAUUAGACGUAAGAGAAGCAGGAACCACCUUCAUUGCCACCUCUUGUAAUUCCAGGAUUCCUAUGUUCUGAAUCUAUGGGAGAAAGAGCAUCAUGUAUUUGUGAUUGGCUCAAAGCAUAUUCCACAUCCUGUAGAAUACUAUACUAAUCUCACCAGGCAUUUUUUUUUUUUUGACAACUAUAACUCCCAACUACUGCUGUUGUCUUCAGUAGGCCUUUGCAGACAGGUAAGGUGUAUUAGUUUUCUUUGCUGCAUAACAAAUCAUUACAUACUUACUGGCUUAAAAUAACACCCAUUUAUUAGCUUACAGUUCUGUAGAUCAGAAAGCUGGCAUGCUGUGGCUGAGUUCUCUGUUCAUGGUGUCUCAAGAUGACAUCAAGGCGUUGCUGGACUGAAUUCUCAUCUGGAGGAUCUGGGGUUAAUUCUACUUCCAAGUCCAUUCUUUUUGUCAGCAGAAUUCACUUCUUUGCUGCUAUAGAAGGUAGACCCCGGUUUCCUUGCUGGCUAUCAGCCAGAGGCUGUUCUCAGCUCCUAGAGGCCACUUGCAUUCCUUAACAUGUGGUUCCCUGCACCUUCAAGGCAGCAGGGAUGUGUUGAAUUCUGCCCGUGCUUUGAAACUCUGACUGACUUCCUCUCUUGCAACCAGUGGUAGCAAAAUCCUCUGUUUUUAAAGGGCUCUUGUAAUUAGGACAAGCUCACUGGGAUAGUCUCUUUUUCUUAAAGCCAACUGUGCCAUAUAGCAUAACCUAAUCACAGGAGUAAAAUUCACUAUAUUCAAAAUCCUGGAGAUUAUACAGGGUGUGUAUAACAGGAGUUGGGGGAUAGUGUGGUCAUCCUAGAAUUCUACGUACCACAGAAGCAAAUCCAUAUCCAGAAUGUUUAUUUCAUUGAGAAAAAUGCUAUUUUUUUCAUGAUGGAAAGUGUCUCCUAUAAUUAACCUGCUUGGUGGUCCGACUGAGGAAUGGGGCUAUGUUGGGAGCUCUUGUUGUCAGUCUUCUGGGUGGGGUGACCUAUGGAUGGUGUUUGGAUUUCUGGUGACAGGUGCCCCAGAGCUAGUUUUCAGCUGGAAUGAGGAAUCUGAGAAAUGUAGUUUGCAGAGUCCAUGCCCCAUCAUCACAAAACAAAGUAUAGGAGAAUAAAUUUGAGACUGAGAGACAAUAGUGAAUGGCCAUCAUGAAUAUAGAAGUCUCCUGUUAAUAAUGGAACAAAAGCAUAGACUCUUCUCCAUAUUUUCCAAAGAGGAUUUAUAAUGCAGUAUAAUGUCCCUCCAGCAUCACUCAACAAUUGUAUACCAUCUACUAUGUUGCUUUAUUUUGAAGCUUCUCCUCUUAUUCUUUAUCCCUAGCUCAGCUUAAAUUAUCCUUAGCUCUUUUCUUCUAACUAUUCCCGAAGGCUUCAACCUGGUAAAUAGGUUUCACCUUUCUUUUAUAAAUGAUUACCUUCUUCCUAUAUGGUGGUGUUCAUACCUAAAAAAGAUGACUACAGAUGAGUGAUAUUUCUAAAUAACUAAAUGUACAAAUGGAUGAUACAAUACAUAUAAAUGGGUGAUGUUU